rnacentral:rRNA from 1 species
GAGGAAAAGAAACUAACCAGGAUUGUCUCAGUAAGGGCGACUGAAGCGACAAUAGCUCACCAUGUGAAUCUGCGUCAAGCCGAAUUGUGGUCUCACUUGCGCUAUUGGGCCGGGCCAAGUCCGUUGGAACACGGCAGCCGAGAGGGUGACACUCCCGUCCGCCCGGCCCUCUGAGCUUGUGUAUUCGAGUCGAGUUGUUUGGGAUUGCAGCUCUAAGCGGGUGGUAAAUUCCAUCGAAAGCUAAAUACUGGUGGGAGACCGAUAGCGUACAAGUACCGUGAGGGAAAGAUG